AGGACUAACGCUGGCGGCGUGCCUAACACAUGCAAGUCGAACGAGAGUAGCAAUACUCUAGUGGCAGACGGGUGAGUAACACGUGGUCAACCUUCCCUAGCGUGGGGGAUAACUAGCCGAAAGGUUAGCUAAUACCGCAUGACAUCGUCGAGUGGCAUCAUUUGACGAUCAAAGGAGCAAUCCGCGCAAGGACGGGACCGCGUCCCAUUAGCUAGUUGGUGAGGUAACGGCCCACCAAGGCUUCGAUGGGUAGCUGGUUUGAGAGAGCGACCAGCCACACUGGGACUGAGACACGGCCCAGACUCCUACGGGAGGCAGCAGUGAGGAAUUUUUCCGCAAUGGGCGAAAGCCUGACGGAGCGACGUCGCGUGUGGGAAGAAGGCCUUCGGGUCGUAAACCACUGUCGAAGGGGAAGAUAUUGACGGUACCCUUGGAGGAAGCCCCGGCUAACUACGUGCCAGCAGCCGC
rnacentral:rRNA from 1 species